CCUACGGGGUGCAGCAGUGGGGAAUAUUGGGCAAUGGGCGCAAGCCUGACCCAGCAACGCCGCGUGAAGGAAGAAGGCUUUCGGGUUGUAAACUUCUUUUGUCAGGGAAGAGUAGAAGACGGUACCUGACGAAUAAGCCACGGCUAACUACGUGCCAGCAGCCGCGGUAAUACGUAGGUGGCAAGCGUUGUCCGGAUUUACUGGGUGUAAAGGGCGUGUAGCCGGGUUGACAAGUCAGAUGUGAAAUCCUGCGGUUUAACCGCAGAACUGCAUUUGAAACUGUUGAUCUUGAGUACUGGAGAGGCAGACGGAAUUCCUAGUGUAGCGGUGAAAUGCGUAGAUAUUAGGAGGAACACCAGUGGCGAAGGCGGUCUGCUGGACAGCAACUGACGGUGAGGCGCGAAAGCGUGGGGAGCAAACAGGAUUAGAUACCCCAGUAGUC
rnacentral:rRNA from 1 species